UAGGGAAUCUUCCACAAUGGACGCAAGUCCGAUGGAGCAACGCCGCGUGAGUGAAGAAGGUUUUCGGAUCGUAAAGCUCUGUUGUUGGUGAAGAAGGAUAGAGGCAGUAACUGGUCUUUAUUUGACGGUAAUCAACCAGAAAGUCACGGCUAACUACGUGCCAGCAGCCGCGGUAAUACGUAGGUGGCAAGCGUUGUCCGGAUUUAUUGGGCGUAAAGCGAGCGCAGGCGGAAUGAUAAGUCUGAUGUGAAAGCCCACGGCUCAACCGUGGAACUGCAUCGGAAACUGUCAUUCUUGAGUGCAGAAGAGGAGAGUGGAACUCCAUGUGUAGCGGUGGAAUGCGUAGAUAUAUGGAAGAACACCAGUGGCGAAGGCGGCUCUCUGGUCUGCAACUGACGCUGAGGCUCGAAAGCAUGGGUAGCGAACAGGAUUAGAUACCCUGGUAGUCCAUGCCGUAAACGAUGAGCGCUAGGUGUUGGG
rnacentral:rRNA from 1 species